AGAGUUUUAUCCUGGCUCAGGACGAACGCUUGCGGCGUGCCUAAGAAAUGCAAGUCGAGCGGGCUGAGAAUUUCGAUUCAAAGCUAGCGGCGAACGGUCGCGUAACACGUAGGCAACCUGCCCGAAAGACUGGGACAACAGCCCGAAAGGGCUGCUAAUACCAGAUGUGACCGCCUGGAGACAUCUCCGGGCGCUUAAAUCCCGCAAGGGGCUUUCGGAGGGGCCUGCGGCCUAUCAGCUAGUAGGUGAGGUAACGGCUCACCUAGGCGACGACGGGUACCUGGUCUGAGAGGAUGUCCAGCCGGACUGGGACUGAGAUACGGCCCAGACUCCUACGGGGGGCAGCAAUUAGGAAUCUUGCGCAAUGGGCGAAAGCCUGACGCAGCGACGCCGCGUGAAGGAUGAAGGCCUUCGGGUUGUAAACUUCUUUUACCAGGGAAGAAACAAAUGACGGUACCUGGUGAAUAAGCCCCGGCUAACUCCGUGCCAGCAGCCGCGGUAAUACGGAGGGGGCGAGCUUGUCCGAAUUUACUGGGCAUAAAGAGCGCGUAGGCGGGUGGCUAAGUCUGCUGUGAAAGCCCGGAGCUUAACUCCGGCGGGCCAGUGGAUACUGGUCAUCUUGAAGUCGCUAGGGGAAGAUGGAAUAACCGGUGUAGCGGUGAAAUGCGUAGAUAUCGGUUGGAACACCAGUGGCGAAGGCGGUCUUCUGGGGCGAUCUUGACGCUGAGGCGCGAAAGCUGGGGGAGCAAACGGGAUUAGAUACCCCGGUAGUCCCAGCCCUAAACGAUGGAUACUAGGUGUCGGGGGUACUGACCCCUCCGGCGCCGCAGCUAACGCAAUAAGUAUCCCGCCUGGGGAGUACGGCCGCAAGGUUGAAACUCAAAGGAAUUGACGGGGCCCCGCACAAGCGGUGGAGCAUGUUGAUUAAUACGUCACUAACCGUAGAACCUUACCAGGAUUUGACAUCGCGUGACAUUCCGUGUAAUGCGGACUUCCCCGCAAGGGGACACGUGGACUGGUGUUGCAUGGCUGUCGUCAGCUCGUGUCGUGAGAUGUUGGGUUAAGUCCCGCAACGAGCGCAACCCUCAUCCCAUGUUGCCAGCGGGUAAUGCCGGGAACUCUUGGGAAACUGGCUGUGCAAGCAGGAGGAAGGUGAGGAUGAUGUCAAGUCAGCAUGGCCCUUACAUCCUGGGCUUCAAACAUGCUACAAUGGACGGUAUACAAAGGGAACCGAUGCCGUGAGGUGGGGGAAAUCCCAAAAAUCCGUUCUCAGUUCGGAUCGUAGGCUGCAACUCGCCUGCGUGAAGUCGGAAUCGCUAGUAACCGCAGGUCAGCUAAACUGCGGUGAAUACGUUCCCGGGGCUUGUACACACCGCCCGUCAAGUCACCUGAGUUGUCUGCACCCGAAGCCGGUGGCUUAACCGCAAGGAGAGAGCCGUCUAAGGUGUGGGGAGCGAGGGGGACUAAGUCGUUACAAGGUA
rnacentral:rRNA from 1 species